rnacentral:rRNA from 1 species
AGUAACGGCGAGUGAAGCGGCAACAGCUCAAAUUUGAAAUCUGGCUCUCGGGCCCGAGUUGUAAUUUGUAGAGGAUGCUUUUGGUGAGGUGCCUUCCGAGUUCCCUGGAACGGGACGCCAUAGAGGGUGAGAGCCCCGUCUGGUUGGACACCGAUCCUCUGUAAAGCUCCUUCGACGAGUCGAGUUGUUUGGGA